AGUGAACGUUGGCGGCGUGGAUUAGGCAUGCAAGUCGAGCGAGAACCGUAGCAAUACGGGGACAGCGGCGAAAGGGACAGUAAUGUGUAGGUACCUACCCUCGGGUCCGGGAUAGCUGCGGGAAACUGCAGGUAAUACCGGAUGACAUCUCCGGAUCAAAGGUGUGAUUCCGCCCGGGGAGGGGCCUGCAUCCUAUUAGCUUGUUGGUGGGGUAACGGCCUACCAAGGCUACGAUGGGUAGCGGGUGUGAGAGCAUGACCCGCGUCAUUGGGACUGAGGCACUGCCCAGACACCUACGGGUGGCUGCAGUCGAGAAUCUUCGGCAAUGGGGGAAACCCUGACCGAGCGACGCCGCGUGCGGGAUGAAGGCCUUCGGGUUGUAAACCGCUGUCGUAGAGGAGGAAAUGCAGGGGGGUUCUCCCCUCUGUUUGACCUAUUCUAGGAGGAAGGACGGGCUAAGUUCGUGCCAGCCGCCGCAGUAA
rnacentral:rRNA from 1 species